GACCUUCUUUGGAUCCUACUUCUUGGGCUUAAUCUCAUUAUUUUGCUUCUUCGCAGAUUUUUUCUUGUUCUUAAAAGAAGACUUUCUUUUAGAAGAAGCCCGCUCCACAGUCAGAACUGUGUCCCUUGAACUCUUCAAAGUGCCCUCUGCUGUUACCAGCAUAUUCAAUAACUCGGGCAAAGUGCUAUCUAUUUUAUUCAUAUGGUAGUUCAUGAUUAAUUACUUAUACGAAUCA
rnacentral:lncRNA from 1 species